AAAGGGAGAUAAUUGUCAGGAAUACGGUGAACCCGCAAACCACGCCCAAGAUUUGUUUGUAAACAAGUUUUAUUCGGAAUUGAUAUUUUAUAUUUUAAGAUAUAAGAAAUAUUAUAGUAAAGAAUGUCCUAUCCAAAGUCAGAAAUGGCAGGUGCACCACCCCCAGGUCCUGCCCCUGUUGUGGCACAACCAGGAGCAGAUAUGAAGAUGGUAAAUUUACAAAUGGUAGCAGGGGCUCCUACACAAUGGGCUGCGGCAGGACAAGCUCCUCCCGGAUGUCCAAAGGGACUGGAAUAUUUGGCCGGUGUAGAUCAGUUAUUAGUUAAACAGAAAGUUGAAGCAAUCGAGGCCAUCACUGGAUUUGAAACAAACAACAAAUAUGAUAUUGUGAAUUCUCUGGGCCAGAGAGUAUACCAAGCUGUAGAAGAUACCUGUUGUUGUACAAGAAACUGUUGUGGAUCUACUAGACCUUUUGAUAUUAAGAUCUUAGACAAUAGAAAUAUGGAAGUAAUACAUUUAUCUCGAGGUCUGAGAUGCAGUUCCUGUUGGUGUCCAUGUUGUUUACAGCGAGUGACAGUUGAAGCGCCACCUGGCCAGGUUUGUGGAUAUGUUUCCCAGGCUUGGAGUUUGUGUAAACCUAGAUUUAAAAUCGAGAAUGCAGAAGGAGAGACUGUAUUGAGAAUCAAGGGACCAUGUUGUCAAUGGGAGAUGUGUGGUGAUAUUGAAUUUGAUGUACAUACAGAAGAUGAGACCACCUUUGUAGGCCGUGUCACUAAACAAUGGACAGGACUGGGUAAAGAAUUGUUUACAGAUGCUGAUAACUUUGGAAUCUCUUUCCCUGUAGAUCUGGAUAUUAAAAUGAAAGCUGUAAUGAUUGGUGCAGUAUUUUUAUUAGAUUUUAUGUUCUAUGAAAAUAACAAGAAGAAGAACCAAAAAGAUGCUAAGAAGGUCUUAGGAUAAAUACAUGCCAAUAUGGGGUUACAGGAUAAAUACACACCUAUAUGGAUGUAUGACUAAACCCAGAGAUCAAACACUGAUGUAUCAGUAGCCUUGAGAAGAAUCUGCUGGAAGAAACAAAUACUGAUUUAUUCUGCACAAUUUCAUGUCUUUCAAUGUAGAUGAUUUUAGGACUAAACUUUUCUUCAGUUUUGUUUCUGAAUUCUUCGACUUGCUAUAAUUUUAUGAGAUGCUCUUAAAUAUAUAUCAUAAGUUUUAUAUCACUUUUACUUGUAUUAGUUUAAAUUUUAUUCUCUUUUAUUUAUUUUAACUUUAUCAUGAAACUUAUUGCAGCUUUUUUAUAAUCACAAAUAAUUAAAUCUUUUAAAAAUGCUUUUGAACGUCAUGUCGUGUAACUAUCAGAUGACCAAAAAAAAGAAGCUUAAAUAAAGAGAAAUAGAAAAAACAUUAGAAAUCAAAAUGAUAAAUUAAUAAAUUAAUCUUUUAAAAUGAACAAACCACAGAUUAAAAAGAUUUAUAAAUAUAUGCAUAUCAUUAUGUUUCAUAAAAUAACCAUGAACAGUGCUUAAUACAUAACUGAACUGAGAAAGGAUAAUAAGCUUAUGUAAGCAUUAUUCAUGUAAACAUUGCUUAGUAAAUUUAUUUGAUUCGUGUAUCAUAUACACCAUAUAGUAUUGUACUGUAAAGAUAAAUACUUUCACAUUCAUUAUUGCUUCUCAUAGUCACAAUUUAUAACGAAAUGACAAGGUUAAAUAAAAUUUACUCAAGUUUUUUGGAUUUUAGCAGAAAAAAAAUAUGCAACUUUCAAAGUACUGUUUUAUCAAAUGAGUUCACUGAAGUGAAAAUUUUAUCACAUUUACAUUUUGAGAAACUGUUUUUCUUUAAAAUAUGACAUUUUUAAAAUUUGAUUUUAGCCUUAUCGUUUGACAGAAUUGUUUACAUUGUAAUUCAGGUAAAUGUUUGUAUGCUUUACUGUGAUUAACCAGUUGGUUGUUGUUAGAAAAGACAUAUACACAAUGUAACAUCAAAUAAUUAGGGGCAUUGUAUGUCUUGUUUAUGUAAAAUAUGUAAAUCUUUAUAUAUAUUCAAGCUAAAUAUACAUGUAAUAACAACUGUAAGAGAAUUUAUGGCUGGAUUAUGUAAUGAGUUAUAAAUUUUAUCAAAUUUAAAUAUGGAAACAGGUUGAAAUUUUUUAUCUUUAAACAGUAUUCUUAUUAACAGAUUUCAUUAAAUUUCAUUGCUUUACUGAUAAAUUUGAUACAUACAAACAAGAUGACAUCUAAUGGCAAAAAUGAUUUGCUGAUUGGAAAGAAACAUAUGAUACUUUUUAAAUGUUUAAGAUUUCUUUCAUGCAAGUGAUUUUACCCCCUCAAACCUUUCAUUGAUAGUAUUAAGGGUAGAAGUAAUAUAAAUAAGAAUCCCCCCUCCCCCUCCCCCUUAUACAAUCUUUUUAUAUUGAGAUAUAUUUGUUGAACAAUUCUGUAGUUAGUUAAGAUUUAUGUAUCUGAUAUAUGUAAGUCCAUUUGAAUUCAUUGGGUUUUGAUUACUGAGUUUACAGGCCAGUACUACAGGAGUUCUAAACAUUGAGUUUAAACAUGAAGUUUUCAUUUUUGCUUUGCUUUUUAGAUUACAGUUUCUUUACUUAUAUAGUAACCAUAUUUAUGUACUGGCUUACUAUUUCUGACUGAUGUUUUACAUUUGUCUUUUUGGUUGAUGAUGCCUCAUCAUAUCAGACAAUAACUACAUACUUGUAUUUUAUACAUCAAUUUUAUUAUCUAAUAUAUAUAUAUAUACUUUAAGGCAGGCUAUGUUGUAUCCAUUAACAGCCAAGAUUUAUUUUAUAUAAUUGUACUUUUAGUCAUGUGUUGUUUUUACACUUUUUCUUUUUUACAAGAUUCUUUUUUUAUUCUAUUUAUUCUUGUAUAAAGGAGAUUUGUUUGUCUGUUUGUCUUUUUCAUUCUCCACAUUAUUUAAAAUAUUACGGCUUCUUUUUAGAAUUAACAUUUCAUCAAAUAUAUAACUUAAUACUUCAUACUAACUGUAGUGAGAUUAAGUUAGAUGUUUUGGGGUUUGCUAUCCUGUCUUAAAGGACCAUUCGUACAUAGAUAGGAAUAAAAAGAUCAAACAUUGAAAUAAGCUUCACUACUGUAAUCUAGAAACCUUAUUGGUCCAUACAUUUGUUGAUAUAAGAAUGUUUACAAUAGGGAAAUUCAUACAGUCAACAAAGCCAGUAAUUUAAGUAACACAAAUAUAGUAAAAUAGAUUAUUGAAACAUACUAAGAAUAGGAAGAAACCUAAAGUAUUGAUAAAACCUAUUUUUGACAAUAUCUUUUGCUCUGUGCUUUCUUUUACCUCAAACACUCAUGGAUUUAUAUAUUCCAAAAAUAUGAAAAGAAAUUUAGGAACUUUUUGAAAGUGCAAGUACUGGUAUUAUAUUCUGAAUCAAUUUCUUUGUAUUGGGUACUGAGGGUUUAACUGUAAAUUCUUAAUAUGUAUAAUUAAAAAUGAUUAUUAAACAAAUUUAUUUGUAUGAUACAUAAUCAUGAUAAUGUACAUAAUGGUGUUGGUAGCAAAUACUUAGCAACUGCAAAAUUACAUCAAAAUGACCUUAGUGCCUCUCGGUUUUGCAUGGUAAAAAUUUAUAUAUGGGAAUAACCAUAGUCAUAUCUUUAUUUUGUGUUUUGAUAAAAUUUAAUAAGCAGGUGUAGUGAAAAGAUUGAAAUCCACUGUAAUAUAUGACCAACCUUAAUCCGUUUUGUAUGAAGAUAGUUAAUUAUUGUGCAUAUCAGAAUCAGUGAAUCACCCAAAUUUUGCUUAAUAUUUUCUACAUUAAAAUAUUCAAGUUUAACAAAUCUAAAUAAAUAUAUUUUUAUUGGAAAGUAAGGUUUAAAAAUUCCAUUUUUUUGUGGGGAAUAUAAUGUUUAAUCUUUUAAUAACACUGGGUCUAAAUAAAAUUUCUAGACAUGUAAGUCUUUGAAUUGGCUUUUUCCUUUCGAUGGACAUGCUGUGUUCAUGUAUUUGGUUUAGAGAUUCAGAAGUUUGAUUCCUUUAAAACAAUCGAUUUGGUAUUUUUUGUCUGCUAUAGACAAAUAUUGACAUUCAACAUUUAUUGACCUUCACUAACUAUCUCUGUGUUCAAGCUUUGCACUUGUUGUAUUCCCAUAGAUGUAAGACUACACAUGUAAUAAUCUGUUAUGUAUAGUAGUAUUAUAAGUCUUUGUAAUUUAUGAUAUUAAAAUAAAAGAAAUUCGUUAUA